rnacentral:rRNA from 1 species
AACGAACGCUGGCGGCAUGCCUAACACAUGCAAGUCGAACGAGACCUUCGGGUCUAGUGGCGCACGGGUGCGUAACGCGUGGGAACCUGCCCUUAGGUUCGGAAUAACUCCCCGAAAGGGGUGCUAAUACCGGAUAAUGUCUUCGGACCAAAGAUUUAUCGCCUUUGGAUGGGCCCGCGUUGGAUUAGCUAGUUGGUAGGGUAAAAGCCUACCAAGGCGACGAUCCAUAGCUGGCCUGAGAGGAUGAUCAGCCACACUGGGACUGAGACACGGCCCAGACUCCUACGGGAAGCAGCAGUGGGGAAUAUUGGACAAUGGGCGAAAGCCUGAUCCAGCAAUGCCGCGUGAGUGAUGAAGGCCUUAGGGUUGUAAAGCUCUUUUACCCGGGAUGAUAAUGACAGUACCGGGAGAAUAAGCUCCGGCUAACUCCGUG